AUGCACUGAUGAGUAUUUCUUCUUCUGAACUUCCUGUGAUGGAGUGAAUUUUUGAGCUUUUUAACCCUGAGCAUC
ensembl:snoRNA SNORD36 Small nucleolar RNA SNORD36